AGGAACUUACCUACUCUUGACAUCCAGAGAACUUAGCAGAGAUGCUUUGGUGCCUUCGGGAACUCUGAGACAGGUGCUGCAUGGCUGUCGUCAGCUCGUGUUGUGAAAUGUUGGGUUAAGUCCCGCAACGAGCGCAACCCUUAUCCUUUGUUGCCAGCGGUUCGGCCGGGAACUCAAAGGAGACUGCCAGUGAUAAACUGGAGGAAGGUGGGGAUGACGUCAAGUCAUCAUGGCCCUUACGAGUAGGGCUACACACGUGCUACAAUGGCAUAUACAAAGAGAAGCGACCUCGCGAGAGCAAGCGGACCUCAUAAAGUAUGUCGUAGUCCGGAUUGGAGUCUGCAACUCGACUCCAUGAAGUCGGAAUCGCUAGUAAUCGU
rnacentral:rRNA from 1 species